AAUCGUGGGGUUGUUUUGUAUGGCUGGGACGGCGGACGGGCGCUCCCGUCCUGGUCCGUGAACCAGAAAAGUCCAACUUCCGCUGAGCCACGGAUCAGAUAAGGAUUGGAAAGCUGAGCCGCGGCGGCGAUACUUCCGGCCACCCGGGGACAAGGAUAAUGGAGGAUGUGGGUAUGGAGUUUCUUCUCGACGCCGUCGACAGGUCAGUUCUUGUAGAUCUGGGUAUUUCGUGUGAUUUGUUUCACAUUCCACCAAAACCAUUACGAGGUUCCCCUGAUCUUGCUUCCCACCGGAGGAACGAACUGUAGCGACCCCGAAGACUCAAAUGCUGGGUCUGCAUGCGGUCAGCGGCUCGGGGAAGAGGGACCUGAGAAAGCACGAGACAGAGUCUGCCGGCGUCGGAAAUCAUCACCGACUAGGUCGGCGCAGUCCACAUACAGAGUCAACCCCCAGGCCCCAGGAUGGACGAAAAGCUGAGGUAGUGGACAUAGCCGAAGAAAUUGAACCACCAUGGUCUCCGUGGACAGGUUGGACUGAACCUGCUGAUGGUUGGGAGACGGAGCUAUCUAGCCUGCUUGGUUGCCCUGGUGCACAUGGUGCCGGACGACUUGCUGCUGAGCACGGGCUAUCUGCUGAGUGCUCAUCCUCCUCAGAUAUGAGCGAUGAAAGUUGAAGAAGCGACACAGCCGAGCCUGCGGAAAAAUGCAGACCUAUAGACUGAAACUCAAUAUCACGCUUGAAGCCUGCAAGAUGCAAGAACUAUGGUGUUGAGGGUCACCGCCGCAACAGCUGCACCAUGCCUCACCUCUGGGUGUUAUUGCAUCUUGACUAGAAUUGCAUUUUCAGUAUGGUUCAGUUUGAGAAUUUUCUAGUGCGCGUUGCCCACUUGUUCAUCUCGGUUGUACGAUGGCUUUGUGUUCAUCAGUUGCUGCGUUCAUUAGUUAUGUUUGUGAACAGUUAACUGUGUUUUUGCAUGUAGUCGACUAGUCGAGGACUGCCUAGCAUGUGAUGUCUGUCAAGUCUGUGUGUUCCUGAUUGUAAAAACUCCUCCUAGUUGUGUCCUGGGUCACUCGAUGAUGAGAGUUUUUGCUGUAUGUGUCAUCAGAUGUCUGUCUGUCCAAACUGAAUCUGUAUUCUCUUCCCCUGUUCGGUGUAUGGUGAACAAAUAAAGUCAUGGCAAAA